rnacentral:rRNA from 1 species
GAUGAACGCUGGCGGCGUGCCUAACACAUGCAAGUCGAGCGAUUCUCUUCGGAGAAGAGCGGCGGACGGGUGAGUAACGCGUGGGUAACCUGCCCUGUACACACGGAUAACAUACCGAAAGGUAUGCUAAUACGAGAUAAUAUACUUUUAUCGCAUGGUAGAAGUAUCAAAGCUUUUGCGGUACAGGAUGGACCCGCGUCUGAUUAGCUAGUUGGUAAGGUAACGGCUUACCAAGGCGACGAUCAGUAGCCGACCUGAGAGGGUGAUCGGCCACAUUGGAACUGAGACACGGUCCAAACUCCUACGGGAGGCAGCAGUGGGGAAUAUUGCACAAUGGGCGAAAGCCUGAUGCAGCAACGCCGCGUGAGCGAUGAAGGCCUUCGGGUCGUAAAGCUCUGUCCUCAAGGAAGAUAAUGACGGUACUUGAGGAGGAAGCCCCGGCUAACUACGUGCCAGCAGCCGCCGUAA